CGCGGGGCUUGUCCGGGAGCGAACCGCCUAUCCCGCGGCGUGGCCGGCAGGGCGAGGGAGGGGGUUUUGCCCCGCGGCGCUGCGCUGGUGAGACCCCACCUGCGGCGCGGUGUCCCCGCGGAGAGCAGUGACGGGUGGUGUCUGUCAGCGGUCGGUGUUGGGGCCGAUGCUGUUCAGUGACGGGGACAGCGGGAUCGAGGGCACCCCCAGCAAGUUUGCUGAUGACACCGAGCCCUGUGUGCAGUUGCCAUGCUGGAGGAAAGGGAUGCCAUCCAGAGGGACCUUGACACAGCUGAGAGAUGUGCUUGUGUGAACCUCAUGGAGUUCAACAAAGCGAAGCACAAGGUGUGAGGGAGGGGAUUCACCCCUCUGCUCUGGGACACCCCACCUGGAACGCUGCAUCCAGCUCGGGGGUGCUCAGCACAGGAAGGACAUUGGACUGUUGGAGCGGAUCUGCUGGGCUGCCGAGAUGACUAGAGGGAUGGACCACCUGUACUGUGAGGAAAGGCUGACAGAACUGGGAUUGUUCAGCCUAGAAAAGGGAAGGCUUUGGGAUGACCUAAUUGCAGCUUUCUAGUGCUGAAGGGAACUUACGAGGAAGACGAAACUCCUGUUCAAAGUAGAAUUGUAGAAAACACCUCUGUUUCAGAACAUUAUACCCUAGACCCGAACAAGAUACCUCCAAUAGACAAAGCAACCUUCAAGCCCAGAACUUUGGACAAGCUCCAAGGGCUAUAUGCAGUACCACGAAGAAGAUGAAGGUGAGGAAAAAGGGGUCUCAAGGACCCCUGAUUCAAUUUCCAGAGGGACGUGGCGGGGGCAGAGCUGGGAAGGAUCUGGGGAGGGUGGAUGAAUCCGGGAUUGAAUGGACCAUACUGUAAAGUUGUAGAACCGCUGCCUGGGUGCACAUGAGUGUCUGUGUAUUCCCCUGGGCCUGAGGGCUGUUAUUAAAAGACCUGCUCUUAUCUAAUGCUAAA